rnacentral:rRNA from 1 species
AGAACGAACGCUGGCGGCAUGCCUAACACAUGCAAGUCGAACGCUCACCGGGCUUCGGUUCGGUGGGAGUGGCGCACGGGUGAGUAGCGCGUGGGAACCUGCCCUGUUGUGGGGGAUAACCGAGGGAAACUUCGGCUAAUACCGCAUGCGCCCGGGGAAACCCGGGGAAAGAUUUAUCGCAGCAGGAGGGGCCCGCGUCGGAUUAGGUAGUUGGUAGGGUAACGGCCUACCAAGCCUUUGAUCCGUAGCUGGUCUGAGAGGAUGAUCAGCCACACUGGGACUGAGACACGGCCCAGACUCCUACGGGAGGCAGCAGUGGGGAAUAUUGGACAAUGGGCGCAAGCCUGAUCCAGCAAUGCCGCGUGAGUGAUGAAGGCCUUAGGGUUGUAAAGCUCUUUCGCCCGCGACGAUGAUGACGGUAGCGGGAGAAGAGCCCGGCUAACUUCGUGCCAGCAGCCGC